GGCGUGCUGUGUGCUAAAAGCGGCAGGUGCAAAAGGGAAACGCUCGAUUGCUGUCGCGGCAGCUGCUGCUGGUGCGGCGAGCGAAUUGUGUUGCAUACUUUUUGGCGCGCGCGUUAGAGGCUGAGUUUAUGUGAAAUGUGACAGACGCAGAGACAGUCGAGAAAGUUGCACACAAAAAAACAGACAGUUGCAAAGGCAAAGCAGACGUUGCGAUUUACCGUUGUUGUGGCGCCAGAAUGGCUGUGUGUGUCCUGCUGCUUGGCCCCAGGAGACAUUUAACAUAAUAAAAACGAACGUGUGCGGCAUUCGUUGCUGUUUUUGCAACUGUAAAUGUGUAUGUGUGUGUGUUUGUGUUGGUUUUGUGUAAUGCUAAUAACACACAGAUACAACACACACACACACAAACACGGGCACACGCACACUUAGUAGAAACAAUAUUGCAAAUGUGUGCGGCAAAGCAGUUGGCAAAAGUGUCGUAAAUCGUUUAGACGGCAAACGUGGCAAGCGCUCAGGACACGGACACAGGACAAACGCACACAGACGCACACUCACACAGCUGCGCUGCCAGGACGAUAUGUAAAGGACAAAAGCCAGCGUGGGAAAAAACAUAUAUAUUUUUAUAUAUUAUAAAGCAACGCCACAGGAUGCUGCCUGCUGAUAGCGACUGCUCCUUUGCUUAGUUCAUGCAAAGCAAACGUAAAAAGCGAAAGACUGACAAUAAUAAACAAGGGAAUGUAAAGGCUUUGAUCUCAGAUAAUAUGUUAAGAGGCUGCCUUUUAAAUACAUAUUUUCAUCCAAAAUAUGCUGCUGCACUUGGAAAUCUCUUGCUGUCUGAUGGGUGGACUCUUCAAAAUAUUGUUAUUUAUUUCCUUUUUAAAAAAUUUGAAAAUGUUUUAUGUGCCGCAUCAAUAAAAAUAAAAAUAUUGCUAUAAAUAAACCAAUUU